rnacentral:pre_miRNA from 8 species
AAACACUACUGUGCUUUAUGGCUUUCUAUUCCUAUGUGAUUUUGAUAUGAUGUAUCAUGUAGGGUUCAAAGCCAUUAGGUACAGAGUGGCUU